rfam:Punica granatum cultivar Dabenzi scaffold601, whole genome shotgun sequence.
UUCAUGUGGUUGGUAUGGAGUCUGACAAACUCAUAAAACCUGUGUUGUCAUCACCUCCUUCUCUUUCAUUUUCCAUGGAGACGGGGUUAAACAACGGCACCAUAUUC